UCUCUGCCCAGGAGAGGUUGGCUCCGGCUCUCCGGUUUUAAUCCGAGACCGACGGAGUCCUACAGCGGUGCGCGGUGACCGCGUCGACAGCGACGCGACCUGGACUCAGGCGCGCGUCCAGAACCAGCCAGAAGUGCUUGGAUAGCAAAGGCAGAUUCCUUCAUGAAAGCAAAGACUUGACACAAACAACAGUUGGCUUAUCUUUAGAGCAGUUACCAGCCUCCAGUUACCCAAGCUUGCUGAACCACACACCAAGAGUCAAAUUGCCAGGUAUCUUGGGUGAGAAUGAGGAUCUAUGAAGCAUGUAUGAAGUUCACAGUCCAGAGACAACUGCUCACUGAAGAGCUGAGACAUAUGGUGAUGCUAUGGGAUCUGUCAUGUCUCUCCACACCCUACUGGUACCUACUAAAAGCCUCAUUUCUAUAGUUCUCCCUAUCUAAGUACAUCAUAUCUACUCUUCAACAAAAAGUAUAGUCUCAGUUACUCAGGAGGCCAAGAAAGAAGGAGAUCUUGAGCACAGAAGUUCAGUGUCAGCAUGGACAACAAGGGGCCUAACAGUCUUUUCAAAGACUGUAGUGAUCAGACCAGAAUUUUAAAAAUAAGCAAACAAAACCACAGCCAUGAUAAAUGUACUACAGCAUUACUUUUAGUGGGAAAAUGUAGACAGCAUUUAAGAGAAAAUGAUAGUGUCAACAGAGAGAAAAACCAUGAAUGGUUCAAAGAGAAAAGCUAGAGAUUAAAGAAAAAAUAAACUUGUAGGUGAAAUGAGAAAUGUCAUCAGUGAAUUUAGUGUACCAGGUUUGUCUGAAGAAGGAAUCUAUAAACUUUAGGGUAAGUCAAUAGAUACUUCCAAAAAUGAAAAAUCAAAGUAAGAAGCCUAGAGAGUUAGAGGGAAAAAACCAGAGAAAAAUAUUGAAGAGCUAUGGAGCAUCUACUAAAGGUAUAAUGUGUGAUGUGGAUAUCAGAAAAGAGACAGAAGCAGAACCACUUAAAGUAAUGGUGACUGAGAUUUUCUACAAGUUAAUAUCUGACACCAAACCACAAAUUUAGCAAGAAUAGAAAAUAUCUAGUAGAAUAAAUACCUAAGCCACAGCAACAACUCUCAAUAGGCAUGCUGUAUCUAUUCUUCAGAAGUCCAAGGCAAGAAAAGGCCAUAAAGCCAUUCUGGAGGCUAACCUUACCUAUGGGAGAGCUAGAAAAACCCUAUCUAUAUAAAAGAAUCAUGUCUCCAACCAAGCAAGAGAAAUAAUUUUAGAAGGAAAAAAUUAAGACACUGAAGAAAUUGAAAGACAUAAGACGAUAGAAAAAUUAUUUGUGUUCCUGUAUUGGCAGAAUAAAUAUUGUGAAGGUGACUAGUCUAUCAAAAACAAUCUAUAGAUUCAGUGCAGUUCCAAUAAUAUUGCAAUGAUGCUCUCCAUAGUACUAGGAGAAAAGAAACUUAAAAGGGCUAUGGGAACAAAAUAGCAUGCAUAGUCAAAGCAACUCUGAGCAUAAAGAACACAGCCAGUGGUGUCACAUUACCUGACUUCAAAGUGUACUAUACAUUGGUAGUGGCAAAGACAGGUUGAUACUGGCACAAAAAGACUCAUAGGCCAUCACAACACACUAGAAGACCCAGAGAUAAAACCAUAAAGCUAUGGACACAUAAUCUUUGACCAAGUCAUUAAAAACAUGCACUGGAAACCAAACCAAACCAAACCAAACCAAACCAAACCAAACCAAACCAAACAAGCAGAUAAUAAGCUCUAAACCCUAACAUUAAAAUGGCCUUUUCACAAAUGUUUCUGGCCAAUGUAGAUAGCCAUCUGCAGAGGAGUGAAACCAGAUCCACACCUCUCUCCCUGAACAGCAGUUGGUUUGAAAUGGCUCAAGGAUCUUAAUUAAAAACUUGAAACGGCUAUGGAACACACUUCAGGAUAAAGGAAUAGACAAAUAUUUCUGAACAGCACCCCAAUGAUGUGCCCAGAAUUGACAAAUGGGAUUGUAUGAAAUUAAAAAGCUUUGCACAAUUGAAGAAACUACCAGUGGAGCAAUAAAACAAGUUACAAAAUGAGAAAAAAAUGUUUGGCAGCUAUUCUUCAAAUAAGGAGUUAACAUGUAGACUACCUAAAGAGACAUAAGAAUUAAAAACAAAAAUUGCCAAUAAAUAAAUGGAUCAAUGAACUGAACGGAAAAUUUACAAUGACAAAACCAAAUGGCCAACAAAUAUUUUUAAAGUAGUCAACAUCCUUAGCCAUUGGGGAAAUGCAAAUAAAACUUCUUAGAUCCCAUCUCACCAAAAUGGCCAUCAUCCUUAUUCGUGGUUGGUGGGAGUGUGAACUGGUACAGCAACCACAGAAAUCAGUGUAGAAGUUCCUGACAAAACAAAACAACAACAACCGCAACAACAAAACAGUAAAAUUAGAAUCACCACAUGACUCAACUAUAUCACUUCUAGAAUAAACCCAAAGAUUCCACAACCUAUCACAGAGAUCCUUGCAUAUCCAUGUUCAUUGCCACUUUUUUACAACAGCAAAGAAAUGGAAUCGUUUUAGGCAUUCAUAAGCUAACACACAGACACUGGAAACACGGUAUGUAAGUACAGUGGACUUUAUUGUCAUAAAGAUAAAAGGACAUUAUGAAAAUUAUAAGAUGGCUCAAGCUGGAAGGUGUAAUAAGUGAGGUAACUCAGGCUUAAGAAGACAAACACCGUGUGCUUUUUCCCACAUGUGGAUCCUGUCUAUGAUGGUUGGUGGUGUCUAAUUGAUAUAAUCUAAGAUCACCUUGGAGACAAGCCUCUGAAUGCACAGGUGAGGUAUUAUCUAGGUCUGGUUACCCUCUGGGCAAGACUGUUGUAGCUUAUCUUGACCAGCUCAAAAAGAGUGGCAAGUCUAGCCGUUGAGAACAGACCCAUUCCCUGGGCUGGAGCACAUAAAAAGGAGAAAGUUAGCUGGACUCAUAACAUUCAUUACAGCUUCCUGACUGGCUGCUCUAAGCUCUUGUCUCCUUCACUUCCCUGUCCUGAUGGAUGCUACCUUGAAGGUAUCAAGAUAUGGGUCAAAAUCAGCCAUUUUCCCUUAGUUACCUUUUCCAGAGGGUUUUUAUCAAAGCAACAGGAAAGUAAAUAUGACACAAAAUUCUAAUUGAUAUAUAUGUGCAUUUAAGAGAAAGUAAGCAUAGGUAAGGGGCAGAAAACUGGAACUAUUUUAUUUCCCUUUGUUGAGAGGCAAAAGGAAACACGUGAUAUCACAGUGGAGGUGGGGAGAAUACUGGAGGCAGAAGGAUGUAGCAGGGAAGAGCAGAGGUAGAGAGAUGGGGAAGGGUACAGAGGCUAAAAUGUAAAACCCUCUGGCCAUGUCAUCAGAUACAAUUAAAUCACUGACAAAAGCCUGCAUCCACUGGUGAUGAAAAUUCUCAGUAAACCAAGAGAAAAAGAGGAUACCCUCAUUUUGAUAGAUGAUCUACAAAAAUAUCCUUUGAUUAACAUCAUGCUUAAUGAUGAGAAAUUAAAAAUAUGCCUGCUGUAGUGAGACAGAAGGCAAAGAUGUAUUUCAUCACCAGUUUCAACAUUUUAUCACAAGUCAAUUAAUUUAAUGGCUCAAUGAUAAAUGAAAUAUAUACUGUUGUGAAUAAAGAUAGAACAUUGACUGUGCUCUGAGGUAUUGUGACCAUCUAUGUAGAAAUCUGAUUGCCCUACAUCCCCUUGAAAAUGGACAAACAAAUCUACUGUAAGCAAUAGGCAAUUAAAGCAAGAUUGUACGACUUGUAGUUAAUGUUGAGAUGUCAAUCUAUUUUCUAUAAACCAGCAAGGAGCAAUUGGAAUGUAAAUUGAGAAAUCAUUACUAUAACUAUUAGCACCCCUCAAAAUGGAAUGAUUGGUAUGUUUCUUUUAAAAUGUGUGCAAACUGUAGUCCUAAGAAAACCCAUAAAUUCUGAUGAACAAUA